AUGAUACUCCUCUGUCCUAAAAUUCUUGUCUUAAAUUUGUUUAGAUAUAAAUGUAUCUAAUCAAGUUUUAGUAUUUAGAUACAUUCAUUUUUAAACAAAGUUGAGACAAAUUUUGAUACAGAGGGAGCAUUAG
rnacentral:pre_miRNA from 2 species